CGGCUCAUGGGUCGAUGAAGAACGCAGCAAACUGUGCGUCAUCGUGUGAACUGCAGGACACAUGAACAUCGACAUUUUGAACGCAUAUCGCAGUCCAUGCUGUAAGGUAUUUUAAUUUAUAAUUGAAAUACUGCUUGGACUACAUAUGGUUGAGGGUUGUAAGACUAUGCUAAAUAAGUUGCUGUAUUUUAAUAUAUGAAAUAUUUAUUAAUUUAUUAUUUUUAUAUUUUAAUUAAAGCACAUGUUAUAUUACUGGCGAGCCAGAAAUCUGGUUAUCCAUAAUAUUAAUAUAUAAAGAUUACAAAACCUCUAAUUGAAUGAAAAAAAUUGAACGGAAUAUUUAUUUCUUAUAUUUUUUUAUUGAGGAAAGUCUAGCAUAAAAUUGAUUAUGAAACUAGAAUUGCCUCUUGAAAAACAAUAAUUGAUAAGAAAUAAUUUUUAUUCAAUGGUUUUGUAUAUCUCAACAUGAUGAGAAGAUUAUUGUAUACAACCUCAACUCAUAUGGGAUUACCCCCUGAAUUUAAGCAUAUUAAUGAGGGGA
rnacentral:rRNA from 1 species